UGGGGACAGUGAUCUUCAUCAUCACCCCAUGGAUGGGGAACAAGCCCAGGUUCUGGAUCUGUGGCCGGAGAUGGGGAGGUGUCAGUACAGUGACAGAACUGAGACAAAAAGCCGCAUUUCCCAGACUCCCUUACGGCUCAGUCACAACGUCUUGGAUGGAGAGAGGUCACUGGAAGGGUGAGAACUGCCAGGGAGUCCCUUGAUAAGGAAGGAGCAUGCACUUUUCCCCUUCCUCCUUCCUGCUGCCUGGGAUGAGAACAUGAUGACUGGAGCUGCAGCCAUCUUGUACUGUGAGGCAACUGGAGGCUGGUUCCUUCACGCUGAGGAUGCUGGAAUAGAAGACCCACUCCUGGCUGACGCUGUGACGCUGCCAACUCUGGACUUCUUUUAGGAGAGAGUAAACCCUAGUUUGUUUAAA